rnacentral:lncRNA from 1 species
GCUCAAAAUGAUCUGAAAUUUUGCAUGGAAUGUUUCUAUCAAUAAAAAAUCUUACAUAUAAAUUUUGGUCCAAAAAUUCAAAAGGAUGUACCUUGGUUCUUCAUUUUUUUCACAUUGCUUUUUCAUUUUGGAACCAUCUAGGUAGAUCUCUCAGAAACCAUCCCACCCCAUGAACCAAAUGUGACAUGUUUUUUUUGUUUGAAUUUGAAUUUUUUUUAUGGGUGUUCUAUAGCAAUAGGGAAGUGUCCACACCAAAUUUGACAAUGUUUUGAGAAAAAUUGAAUUUUAUAGAAUUUUUAUAGCACAAAAGCCACACAUAAUGACACUUAAUCAUAGAAGGGUAUAUAACAUUUGAAUUUAUGGUUCAAAAGUUUAUUGAGAAUAAAAAAUCUUAUUAUACACAUAAAAGAACAGGUGGUGUAUUUAUUUAAAACCCAAAGAAUAUAUUAUCAAUUUAAUAGCUUAUUGGAAAUUCAUCACCAGUGGCGGUUUCUGUCGUGAGAACCGCCACUGAUAUGCGGUACACAAAUUUAGUGUCUUCAAUGCUCCUGCGUAUCAUACCAGUGGCAGGUUUCAUUGCGAGCACCGCCACUCGUGCUUCGUACUAGUGGCGGUUCUCUGCGUAGUCACC